UGCUAGGUUACGCUGUAAACUAUCUUCCGCUGUUUCGUUGUAACGUUAGCCGUAUCGAUGGAGGAGCAAAGAAAAAGAAAAGGAAACUUCACCGACAUUGAGAUACGAAAGUUAAUAGAGCUGUACAGUCAGCACAAACACACACUGACUGCCAAGCAAUCAAACACAAUUACAAACCAGAAAAAAAACAACAACAUGGAGACAGAUAACAGAGGCGAUUAACGAUUGCUCUGACUCCGGCUGCCUUAGGACAGAGAGCGAUGUAAGAAAAAAGUGGAAAGACCUCCUGAGCAAAGCAAAAAAAGAUUUAUCUGCAAAAAAACACCACCCGACCGGCGGGGGUCCUCCCCCAAAAACUUCCCUGUACAGUACCAUAAUUGUGGAUAUCUUUGGAGAGGAUUCCCCGGCUUUUAUUGGUUUGGUCGGUGCGGAAAGUGGCGGUUCCGACAUGCAAGAAACCCUUGUCUCCCCAGAGAUGGCUGUCGAUCACUCAAUCGAGAGUGUGAAUUGUGAAGACUCGAUGGAGGACCCAGUCACUCCACAAAGUUCUCACGAACACAGCAGCGGUGCACCACCGGUGAAACGGAUGAGGAGGCUGGAUAAUCUGCAGCAGACACUUCUUGAGAAGGAAAUUGUGAGAGUGGAGACUGAAACAAAAAAACUACAGACCGAGCAGGAAAAGUUAGAACUUGAAAAACAAAAAAUAUUGUUAGAAAUACAGUUGCUCCAACAACAGAUAAACAGUUCAUCUUCGCCUAUUUCUGAAGAUGAUGGGCGGUCUUUUGUAUUUCUGUAAAUAAGCCUUAUGGCAAAUUGUGUACAAUGAAUCAAUGACAAUUAUAUGUAAAUAAAAUAAGUUUAUUAUAGACCUAGUGGGAUUUCUUUGUGGCUUAUUUUUAUGGUUUACAACCUGCAGAUUAUUGGCAAAAUUAUUUUUAACAUUUAUAAAGCAUUAAUUAUGCGUGUACGGACUAGUCGUCCACCGACAUCUUCAUGCCCUGCAUGGUCCACAGGGUCAACACCUUCCUCCGGCACCGGCUGAUGGUGUUGCCUAGGGAGAGGGAUCAUCUUGGUGACACAGAUGUUGUGGAGGACAGUGCACGCUGCUAUUACGGUGCAGACUCGCUCAGGGUGCAUCCGCAUUUCUCCAUGAAGACAAUAAAACCUAGAUGAAAUAGUCAAUGAUUAAUGUAAAACCUAAAUGUGUCACUUUUUUACUAUUAAUAAAUGAGCAAAACUUGGCCACUAAAUAUGUAAUAUUCAUUUUUUUUUUAUUAUUUUGACGAUCGCCAUAUUCAUAGUGAACGCGCAUAUAGAGAGAAAUGCACAUAAUGGAUUACAUAAUCAGAGAAUAGCCUUUGUCUUUUCGUUUGUAAUUAUUUAGUUUAAAGACCUUUCAAGCUUUGUGUAUUUGAUGUAUUUCUCAUAUCUGUGUGAGGCAUACACUGAUUUUCGUCAAGUUAGGAUGAAAUGCUCUCUUAACAUCCAAUGCAAGUGACAGCGCGGGCGCAUACAUUAUUGUCUGCUAUAUUUGCUUCUAAUUUAUUAAAUGGGUCAUUCUAUGAAAAUGGUGGCUUUUUGAAAAUACUUUUUUAUACCAAAACUUACAGUCAGAUAAUAGUUAACCUCUUAACAUUAUAAAUCAACUUAAAUGACAGCUUAAUGUAUUUUUAUAUUUUUACUAGCCUACAUUA